rnacentral:lncRNA from 9 species
CUGUCCCGGGGGACCGGGUUGCGGCAGCCGCGGUCAGGGCGAGACUGGGCAGGGGCUGGCGGCUUGGGGUUCGGCUGCAAGGAGACCCACAGCAGGUGGAAAGUUAGGAAGGGGAGCGGGCUGGGGCCGAGAGCGGCUCGGCAGGAAUUCUGGCCCUUGCUCCUCCCCCAGGUCACCAGACUCUCUGGCUGUGUCUAGACUCCAGCCUCCGCCGACGGUUUCUAAUAAAGCCACGUGCACGGAAGAUCUGAAAGCAGGGAGACCACCCGACGUUUCCUAGGGGUUGCAAGAUGCACAGUCCCCUGCGUAUUUGGGGGUGGCACAGCUGACAGUGGUUCCCGUCUUCCCCCCAACCCCACCCCCUACUCCCCUCUCCUGGGCGUGGAUGGCUUUGGGAAGCGUCCACUCCAAGCGGCUCCAGCAACACUGAAUGGAUGUGUAGUAUGGUUAGCAGCUGGAGACGGAGCAAACGAUGCAAUGAAAAGAAGUCACAUUCACGGCGUAUUUGCUGGCAGGCACUGUGCGAAAUGCCUUGUAUGCAGCCUCUGUGAUUCUCUUCACGACUCGGUGAGAACUAUAAAGAUUCCUGUUGGAAAUGUGCAGCAUCACAUCACAAAAGAAAAAGAAACCAGAAAUAAAUGAAAACUCCGACAUGGUUCCUGAUUUUGUUUUCUGUAAUAGAUGUGAAACCAUGGCAAGGAUAAACAGUGAUUUGGCAUUCAGCAUCACCACUGCAUCAGGCAUUUCUAAGAACUGAAUUAAUGAAUGAAUAAACUCAUGUCAUAAAUAUAUUGUUUGUGGAUUGAUGAAUGUAUUCCAUUUGCCCCAGAUUAGAUAAGUUUAUCUAGUUUCAUAAAAUUGGACAACUCAAGGAGUACAACCUAACUUGUAGUAUAUGUAAAUGAUGUUUUCCAGACUUGUAUAAAAUGGAAAAUCAGAUUUACUUGAUAGAAUGGUAGGAAAACCUCAAAGAAAAACUGUGGUCUUUUUUUAUAUCCUACUUGCCUCUUACUUUAGUGAAGAGUAGAAUUGUACCAAGUAUCUCAGUUUACUUCCUGAAAACUGAAGUCAUCAC